CGGCCUUUGGUGCAGCUGUAAGUCGGAUGGAAUCCACCUUCCUGACGUCAGACCCACCCACUGGAACACUGCUCCUCUGACUGGGGCUUCCCUGAAUGGAAACUACAUGUCAUACUGCAAAGUUCCAGAUAGAUUUCAUCACUCAAGAUAAGCAAAUGAACCACAGAAUUUUGAAGUUAGAGGUAAUUACAGCAAUGAUCUUAGCCAGCCCCCAUACAUUUUGGGACACACAGGUUCAGGACUGCCUGCCCUGGAGCUGAUUCCAUAAGAUACCCAGUCUGUGAUCAAAUUUUGUUCCACACCCAAUAUCAGACAACAUGUGCACAUCUUGGACAAGACUAUUGGGGUCUGUGAGGGGAAAUCCCUGCCAGAGCCCCUCAUUAUCAUAUUUUUAUUUCAUUCCUAAGAACAACUUCUGAAAGAGAAAAAAGUCUUUGUCUCAGUUUCUGCUCUCCAGAGGUAACCCAAAGGUAAAAGGUAAGGAACCCAGUGAGAAAGACAGAGAGAAGUAUGGACAAGAAACAGAUCCUAAACCUGUUUUGUUUUAUUUUUGGUAGUAGUUGUUUAUUUUUGAAAACAUUCAAACCACCUGUAUUGGUGGCUGUUAUUAUGAAAUAAAUAAACUGAGAAACAACAAGACAAUUUGGCCUCUACAAUUUGUUUAGUUUUGACUAAGUAUUUGCCUUGGAAGAAGUAUGU
ensembl:lncRNA LINC01828 long intergenic non-protein coding RNA 1828